rnacentral:misc_RNA from 1 species
GAUGAAGAACGCAGUGAAAUGCGAUAAUUAAUGUGAAUUGCAGAAUUCAGUGAAUCAUCGAGUCUUUGAACGCACAUUGCGCCCCCUGGUAUUCCGGGGGGCAUGCCUGUCCGAGCGUCAUUGCUGCCCUCAAGCACGGCUUGUGUGUUGGGCUUCCGUCCCUGGCAACGGGGACGGGCCCAAAAGGCAGUGGCGGCACCAUGUCUGGUCCUCGAGCGUAUGGGGCUUUGUCACCCGCUCCCGUAGGUCCAGCUGGCAGCUAGCCUCGCAACCAAUCUUUUUAACCAGGUUGACCUCGGAUCAGGUAGGGAUACCCGCUGAACUUAAGCAUAUCAAUAAGCGGAGG